UCCGCCUUAGCUCAGCUGGUUAGAGCGUGCGACUGUUAAUCGCGAGGUCACCGGUUCGAGCCCGGUAGGUGGAG